UCAAACUUGGUCAUUUAGAGGAAGUAAAAGUCGUAACAAGGUUUCCGUAGGUGAACCUGCGGAAGGAUCAUUAACAAAUCCAUCAUAUGAUGACCCUACCUUGUGUGCACCUGUAAAUAACUGCCCUUUGGAGUAAAGGUUUGGACGGGAGGUAGGUGGUCCUUUUUGGCAGCCGCCGCCGCCGCCAAUCUUUUUCUAAAGGGCUUUUUUACAAACGUCUAUUGAACAAGUAAAAAAUUUUAAACCACAAUAAAUACAACUUUCAACAACGGAUCUCUUGGCUCUCGCAUCGAUGAAGAACGCAGC
rnacentral:misc_RNA from 1 species